rnacentral:rRNA from 1 species
AUUGAACGCUGGCGGCAGGCCUAACACAUGCAAGUCGAACGAGUGGCGGACGGGUGAGUAAUGUCUGGGAAACUGCCUGCUGGAGGGGGAUAACUACUGGAAACGGUAGCUAAUACCGCAUACCAUCGGAUGUGCCCAGAUGGGAUUGGCUAGUGGGUGGGGUAAAGGCUCACCUAGGCGACGAUCACUAGCUGGUCUGAGAGGAUGACGAGCCACACUGCAGCUGAGACACGGUCCAGACUCCUACGUGAGGCAGCAGUGGGGAAUAUUGGACAAUGGGCGCAAGCCUGAUACAGCCAUGCCGCGUGAAUGAGGAAGGCCUUCGGGUUGUAAAGUACUUUCAUCGGGGAAGCGUUACCCGCAGAAGAAGCACCGGCUAACUCCGUGCCAGCAGCCGCGGUAAUAC